rnacentral:lncRNA from 1 species
UAGAAGGGGGAAAAUAGUCAUAAGAGGUAGAAGUGUGGCCAGAAAUAGGCAGUGUAGCCUGAGAAUGAGGCAAGCUAUGCAGGGAUAUCUGUUCUAGGAAAGAGGCCACAAUGGAAAGACCCACUCUCUACAUGAGGGUCCAUCCAGGAGGAGAAGCCCAAACUCCAGAGUCUGCUGAGCAUUCUGCACAAGAGGCAGUUCAAGGAGACAAGAAAGAAGAAAUGGAUCUUUAAAAGUACCAUAGCCAGGGUUUCAUGAAGUAGGAAGAUUAUUUUGAAUAUCAAGAACAAUCACAGGAAAAAUAAUCAAUUGAGGGACAAGGGAUCUUCAUGAAAGAGGGGACUCCUGCACGUCUCAGUGUUCAAAGCUAGCAUCAUGGCAGAGGAACAUCGGCUUCUUCAUGGUGCUUCCAGCAGGUGAGCCUCUGUGAAUAACUAUCUAGAUUAACUGAGUUGGGAACACCUAGCCUAAGGAGAAUGGCACCAUUUCCAAGGCUGGAUUGCUGGAUUGCUGGAUUGCUGGAUUGCUGGAUUGCUGGAUUGCUGGAUUGCUGGAUUGCUGAGUUGCUGAAUUGCACAAAAUGGAAGAAACCAGUAAAUGCAACAUGAUCUGGAGCUCUUGGUGCUGUGAUUUUCCUUUCAC